GUUGACCGAGUCAUUUUAGGCA
rnacentral:siRNA from 1 species